GAUCAAACAAACAUAACGUAAGCAACCGAAAAGAGAAUAAACAACAAGCAACAAAUGCAACUAUGAACAUAGUCACAAACUUGUCCUGGAGACUUAGAAAGAAAUUGCUAGAAUAAACAUCUAGAAUAGAUGCAUUAAAUUAUAAAGUUGCUCAUACAGCAAUUUUAUAGGCUCAUUGAAUAUCCUCUUGGGUGUGCCACACCAUGAAAGUAACUAGCAGAUGCUUAAGCAUUUGUUGGCAUUGGCAGUCGAAGAAACUAUUAAUCACAAAUUUGAAUAACUUUUUCAACAAGAUCUUUGUAAGAUUUACUCAUCAAAAGUUCUUUUUUUCCAUCAUCAACAACUAAAGUUGAAGGUUGAGGCCUUAAGCAUAACCAAGUUACUGGAACUGGAGUGAAGGCAAUCAAAGGUAGCCAUAGGUUGACUUGGGGCAAAACAUUU
rnacentral:misc_RNA from 1 species